rfam:Schizopora paradoxa strain KTC8140 unplaced genomic scaffold SCHPAscaffold_00069, whole genome shotgun sequence.
GGUUUCGUGGUCUAGUGGUUAUGAUUUCUGUCUUACACACAGACGGUCCCCGGUUCGACCCCGGGCGGAACCA